GGUGGCGCUGUGGCGCUUGGGGAAGUUGUAGCGCUGUAGCGCUGAGGUAGUUUUAAAAAAUUUUAACCUAUUCCUACACCAAAAGAUAUAUUUAUCUAGCACUUUAUAACAAACAUAUGCAAUUUAAAGUAUGCAAUUUUUCUACUUAUCAGCUAACAUGCUUGUGAAACAUUGAGGUGUUAGUUACAUUGUCAAGAUGUUUAAUGCUUAUAUUUGGCUACUUUAUUUUGUUGAGAUGUAUAUGAACAUGAUGGUUGGUGAAUAAUACUCAAAAUUGAUUGCAUAUAUUUAAGGGUAUUAUCAAUAUAAAUGGAUUUAUUUUGAUUAGAAGUUGUACUUUCGCUUUUGGAUGAAAUAGUUAUAAUAUAGAGAAGUUUUUUGAUCAUUACUUCAACAAAUAAACACACAUAAACUUGUUGUGAUCAUCAAUGAUGGAAAUGAAAUAAUAUAAACCCUGCUUAUGCCUUAAUCCGUAGUUAUCAGAAUGUACCAAGUGAAAAGGCCCAAUAUUAUGUCAAGGGGAUGAUGAGGGAAAGGGAACGUGAUGAUGUUUUCCAUAUUUGUAAGCUUCAUAUUCAAUUUUUAAAACAAAGAAUUGUAUAUUAGUGAAGCCCUUAAAAUGGUGACCCUGAUGAUGGUGCCACAGAUAAAGAAAAAUAAAGGAGGAUGAUAUGACAAUGAAAUAAUUUCAGUGGGAUAAUAAUUAUCUCAAACCUAAACUCAUACACCAAUUAUUUUGUUCAUACUGAGGUCUUGAAAAACAUAGCAUGAAGGAAAAAGCUUUUAAAAAAUUAUCAAAUUUGGUGAUACAGUGCACGGACAAAAGAUUUAUCCAAAAAUGUGAGACAUAAAAUAUUAUCUAAUGUUAUGAAGAGGAGGGAUUGCUUGAUCCUUUUCCAUCAAUCAGAGGAAGAGAGCCUUGACAAAGGGAAUUUAUGUUGUGGUAAACGAUGAAAAUAAUUAUUGGUUACAUUCCAUAUGAGAAGUACUCCAAUCUAACAAACCAUAAUGAGCAAUUUCAUCCAAGUCAAAGGAGGAAAUACAAGCUGAAAUGAUCAUAUUCCUCUUGGGAAAUGACAAUUAUACAAUUCAACUGCCCAACUCCUGUUAAUUAAGUCACGUGAAACAGAAAAAUGGAACCGAGUAGAGCCGCGGCCUAGGUGAACCACACGCGAGCUUAGACGGGGUUGGAAGGGGUGGUUUUCGAUUCCGAGCGAAGGUUUGAGUUCGGGAAAUAAAAUCAGACUACUACUCAUGAAGAAUAACUCCCUCCUCUUCACUCAUUACCGCAAAAUAAGCGAAAUCGAGAGAAACGACUGAGAGGAAGAAGGAGAAGGAAGGUAUGCUAUUUUUCAAUUUCGUUCACUUUGUGUGAAAUUUCUUCACGAUUUAAACUUAAGAAACGAUUCAUAUCUCUUUUAAAGGUAAAGGAAGAUUGAGAGAGAAAGAAGAAUGAUUUUAUGUUGGAAAAUUUUUCUUUGUAAGCAAUUUCAAUCAUAUUUAUUUCUUGUUCGAAUUUUGACAACAACAACAACAACAUCAAGUCUUUAUCCCACUACGUGGGGUCGGCUACAUGAAUCCUUUUUCUCCAUUGUGUCGAAUUUUGAAGGUAGAUAAAAUUUAUUAUAAUGGUAAUAAUAGUAUAUGAUUUCAGAAAAGAAGAAAAUCUAACUUGAAAGAGGAAGUGUUUGGAUUUGGAAAAUUCCUUCAUAAGAAAGUGAAGAAUCCAAUUAUAGUAAGCUUAGAUCCGAGUGAAAGAAGUCAAUUUGCAGUGAAGGAAAGAUCUGUUGAAAGAAGGGAAGAUUCCUUGAGGUAAUUAUUUAAUUGUGAAGAGUUUAAUCACAUAUUUUGUUAGAAGAUAAUGAUAGAAAGUGUAAUUGAGAUUGUGGAAGAAUUUAUGGCCUUUAAUAUUAUGUAAUGUGGAUUAAUUAGUAAAAAAGCCCUCUUUGAAAAUGGUUAAAGUAAUUUGUGUUAUUUUAAACAAUGAAAGAUUUUCAUACUAAGAUGAAUAUUGGAGGUAUAUUUCAGAGAAUCAAAGAUUUGGAAGGAAUCUGAACAUACAAAAAAUAUUCAAAGUGAGUAAUUAUAGCAUAAUUAUUUUAUGGAAAUUUUAGAUUCUUUUCUUUAUGUUAUUACAAUUUAUUUAAUUAUUGCAAUUAUAGCAUGUUAUAAGAAUUAAUUGAAAUAAUAAAGAAAGUUUAAAUGUGAAUUAUAAUUAUACGGAAUUAUCAUUGUAUGGAUGAUAUUUAAAUGUUAAAUAUGCAAUAAUCUUGAGAAUUAUUGAAUGACUAAGAUUAUAGUAUAAUGUAUGUACGUGUAGUGAAUUCUAUAAAAAAUGAAAGUAAUAAAAGAGGAAAAGAUACAUGCAUGCAAAUUACAGGAAUUCAUUCCCGUAUGGUACUAGUUGGGGAAGCAACGUAUCCGUGCAUGCAUGUUAAAUGAAAAUGAAAAUUGUUGUACUUUUAU